rnacentral:misc_RNA from 1 species
AAUAGAGGCUGAGAUUUGUGGAAAAGGACCUUGCGAACAGACCCAUCAUGCUUAUCAAAACUAUCAAUUAAUGUCCCCAUUCAGUAGUCCCAUAGCUGGAUCACACCACUUUGAAGGCUCACAAGGAUCCACGGUCUCCUACUGUCGAAACUCAGUCCUUUCGCUCUAUUACUCUUCUUCUUAAACUUUAUCAACAUCUUCUUCGAUCAAAUAGAACAACCUUUUCCAAAAGAACAACUCAAUCAAUUUCAGAGAAUUAUCGUAAACUCACAGAUGUAGCAUUAAGGUGAGGGUGAGAAGCGAAAGGGAAGAAGAUGAAGAAGAAGAAGAUGAAGUUGGGGAAUCUGGUGAUAGCGAUGUGGAAGGACAUUUGGAGGUGGAGAGACGGCUGGAUCAUGAUCUAAGUAGGUUUGAAAUGAUAUGCCCAACUUCUGGUGGUGAAGAGCAGAGUACCCUUUUGGAGAGUAGAGUGGAUGAUCGAGAUUGUCACAUAUCCCAGCUUGAGGAGGAGAAUUUGACAUUGAAGGAAAGGGUAUUUUUCAUGGAGAAAGAGUUAGAAGACCUAAGAAGAAGGGUUCAAUGCUUGGAAACUGAAG